ACUGCAUGUCUAGUACUUUGGGGAUGCCCAUUCUCUCCAAGGCUCUCAUAGCCUAACUGUAGAGAAAAGGCUUACAUGUAUGACAUAUUAAGAUUGUAGAAACCAGCACCUGUGGGACCUCUGAGAGGGUCUGGAAUUAGGGUUCAGGUACCAUCCGUUACGUGCUUUGAAGAUGCCACUCCAUCUGUGGGAUUCAAUUUACAUAAACUGAAGACUAUUCUUCUGAGUUGAAGUGAGGAGAGGCAUCAAUCACACUGGAAAAUUAUUUGAUCUCCUGGAAGCAAAAAGCCCACCAUGAAGUUGUUCUUGCCAUGGACUUCUAGAGGAGCUGACUGUCCUUUGGGAAGCUACAAAUACAGCCUUAAAAUCUGUUAGCAGGGAAGAGAGGCUUUUUCUGAGUGAUCAGGAAUGAAGAAGCAGAGAUCAUGCAAGGUGUUUCCAUCCAAAAGUAGGCAUCUCAUGUCAUCUGCUCUGGCCAGUAUUUAACCUUGAGAAAAGAAGAAGUGUAGAGAUGAUGUACUUGCCUGAGGGAUGGAUUAAAAAGUCUUUGGUCUUUCUCUGAACGGUACUACUGAAUUUAUCCUCAUCACCAUCAUCAUUGUCAUUGUCAUCAUCAUCAUGAAAACAGACCAUGUACAAAUCCAAGCCUGCCAUAGAAGUUGUUACCCUACAUAGAGUCCACGCCUGUUUGUCCAGAGUUUGGGAAAAGUCGGAGCAC